CGACUUGGCGCAGUAAAAGGUACCCUGAAAAAUACCCUGCUCUGAUUUGGAUCAUAUCUCAUGUGAGGAGGAUGUGAUUCGUUCAUGCAGCAGCACAGAUAAAUACCACAAAGACCUUUGAAAUCUGUGUGUCACGAGACAACAUGGUUGAGAGGGGUCUGAAGCUGUGGAAACGUCAAAAAAAAUGGGAAGCCCAGUCAAUCCCUUGAAAAUCAUCUUCCUGGGAGAGCCAGGAGUUGACACAGGGGCACUGAGGAAAGAAUUUCUGUCCACAAUGGUUGCUGGCAUUGAAAAACGUCUCUUUGAAGGUGAUGCGAAGAAAGGAAAAACACCAAAGUACUCCCUCAAUGAUCUGUUCAAGUAUGUGUCUUGCCAUUGGAUUUUGGGUUAACUUUUAUAUUCAAACAAUUCCUUCUAAAUCAUUGAGGAAAGAAAAGUUUGGUAUGCCAUGAGGGUGGUAUUCCAAACUUUUAUGUCUUCUGCAGGAGAAAAGAUAUUUUGAAGAAAGUUUCAGCUGUUUUUGUCCACAUAACAAAAAUCAAUGAGGUUUAAAACUCAACUGUAUUUUAUAAUAUACCCAAGUCAGAUGAAACAUUUUUUUAAAAUCCUGUAGAAGAAAGUAAAUACAUAUUUUUCUUUUCUUUAUUUGAAGUAACAUAAUAGUUCUUCUAUAUACAGACAUUUAUACAAGUAUACCACUCUAUAUUAGUGCCAAGAACUGUUGUACAUAUAUAUAAAACAGUAUAUAUUUCUAGAGUUGCAGGUGAAAUAUUUGCUGUGAGCAUUGCGCAAGGAG